CUUUAAUAUAUGUUUAGUGAGUGAAUAAAUAAUUGACAAAAGGCUGAAAAAAAACUAGGAUACUUUAAACUUACUGAAUAUACUCUGUUCCUGAAUGUUUUUGCUUUGAUUUUGGUACAUGUUGUAAAAUUGCUUUACAGUUCUGGCUUAAAAAUAGCCCAGAGAAAGCAGAGUUUGUGUCAGGUCAGCUGAUAUAAAGUAAAUUUUACCCAGUGAUUUCAAUCUCAGAGCAAUAGCGCCAUGGGUCAAAUGUUUCUCUCUAUUUAUUACAACAUGUAAGGUCAUAAAUGAAGACGGGAGCGGUGGGAACGAGUGUUUUAAGUCCUCUCAGUCAGACCUAUUCCAGGAGAAUUUAUCUGAAACGCAGAGCAACCCAGAGUAAACUUGUCUUAUGAUCAUGAAUUUUGGCAAAAUAUCAAGAAAUUUGGAAAGUGAUCAAAUUCCUUUCACCUUCAAGAAAGAGAAGUAUGAGGUCGACUACCUUCAUAAAGCUAGAAGAAGUUGCAAAAAAUAGCUGAAGACGUCCACAAUUUCUUGGAUUCUCCACUCAAACAACGAAAAGGAAAGCGUCCUCCGUGGUGGUGUUUCUCUGAAGAACUGGCUGGAGGAACGCCGUUUGAACUGAGACCGUUGGCGCUGCAGAUCUCUGUGGCAGAUAGAAAGAGAGAACAUGGAAGCAAGUGAGGUGUCCAAGGACUUCAUCACAAACACCGAAUUCCAAUCUUUAUUACCAGACGAAAUUUUUCCUGAGUCAUCCAAGGAAGACAAACGUUUGCUGUUGGCUGGUCACGGCUUCCGUCUUGACUGCUUCAUCUGCGAAUCCGAUGAGUCGUAACAAUCCGGGUGGAUUGAGUUCAACUUUCCUUUUACCUACCUUUGGACCAGUAGAUACUCAAAAUUGAGCCACCAGACUCCAUAGGCACAUUUUCCCCCAUGGAAAGUAUGAGAGGGUGUGUGUGAGUCCAAGAUGAACUAUGGGAAGGAAAGGAAAAUGCAUGAGGACUGUUGACUUCGAUGGAAUCCCUAUUUGAAGAGUUCAUUUGUCCGUGAUAGUGUGGUGCUGAAGAGUAGCCAAAGAUACACUGUUUCAACUAACAGUUUCUCUACAUUAGGGUGGUGGUACCAGCACUAGCACUACACGCAUCUCCUCCCAGCUCUGCCUUAAUGCCACAGGCCCCCGCCCAGUACCCAAGGCCAACAGCCCAGUGCAAAAGGACACAACACGCUAAGAGGAGACUUGUGAAAAUCACCCAAAGCCAAAGCAGAAAAUAUACCAAGUGCGGACUUUGAAUGAGACUUAUUCAGUACUCUACUCCGACAUUUCGUCAGAAAUUUAUCAAAUGACUUUUUGGAUGUUUCUCUUCUUAGUGCGCUAGUCAUCAAAAGUCGAGGUUCCAGAAAGGUAACCUGAGGCAUCUGAGGUCCUACAAAUCCGAAGGUCAUGCUCUGUCUGGAAACAGUCAAAUAUAAUCUGUGAUAUGCCAGCCAUCAGCUUGCUUCGGACAAAGGAUAAAGAAGAAGUCAAGUUUCCAUCCUAACUCUCCCCAAACAGGUGAGGGAAGAGGCAUGAAGGAAGUCCCACAGCCACACCAGGAGACAUAAUCAGAGCCAGAUGCCAAGCUUUCUGAAUCAAGUGGACUCACAUGCCAUAAAAAUGAGUGGUUUAUUAUAGGCCUCUAAUUAACAAAAUAUGGUUUUUACAUACAGCCAACAGAGUGUACCCCACUGUGUGCCCAUAAAACACGCUUGGCAAAUUGGAAAUAACAGAAUGGCCAUUUUCACCACAUUAAGAAGACUGAGCUCGAGUUUUGUAUUACGUCUACCUUGCAUCAACCCUACAAGGAGCAAAGUCAAAUAGUCAGUCAAUAUUUAGUACAUCAUUCACUUAAUAAAAUCUUUUGAGUGUUUACUGUAAGCAAAACUAACAUACGCAGAAUCGUUGGAAGUAAAAACUUGACUCCAUCUAUAGCCCAAAUUUCAGGCAUGCCUUUAAAUUACAACUAUUUUGUUUAAAAUUUUGUCAAAUGGCCAUUUUGUAAAUUAACUUACUAAAAUGACCGUUCAGGGACAGAGGACAGACAGGAUCAUCUGGGGCCAUAUUAUUCCUCCAUUGUCCCUUUAGAGAGCCUGUUCAACUGUCACAAAACAAGGCAGUAUAAAUGUGGCUCCAGUGCUCAUCAACUCUUUCUUAAUACUGCUCUCAUUAUAUUAAUACUCAAGGACAGCGAUGAUGGUCGUGACAAGCGUCAUAAAUGAUGAAGUACUGCAUCUUCGCGAGGUAAUUGAUUGAGGCACAUUCAGGCUAUUGAGCUUUCCACAAUUGGCAGGUGUGUCUUUUAUAAAAUCCCAGAUCAAGGGCCAGCCUGGGUAGCCCAGUGGUUAAGUUCAGCACGCUCUGCUUUUUUUGGUGGCUCGGGUUCAGUUCCUGGGCGCAGACCUACACCACUCUGUUAGUGGCCAUGCUGUGCUGGCAGCCCACAUACUAAAAAGUAGAGGAAGAUUGGCACUGAUGUUCACUCAGGGUGAAUCUUCCAUAAGAAAAUUAAAAAAUAAAAAUAAUUUUAAAAACCCCAAGUCUAAAGAAAGAGAGAAAGGUCUUCACUGGCCUCCGUGGUCCACAGCUCCUCUAUAUACAGUGUGAGAAGGACAGCUCUGGGACCAGGCGAGGCUCUCUAUGGCUCUGUUCCUUAGGAGUGGGGGCAGCAGCUGCAUCACUUACACGCAUGGUGGCAUUCCACUGCCAGCAUCUGCCAGCCACUGCUGAACUGCGCUAACUGAGAAGUAAAACUCCUUGCCAGUGAGUGCACUGAUUGGCGUGCCGAGAGCCGACUCCCAGCAGUAGAGAGGCCUGCAGCCAGAGGACAAUCGAUGACGAUGAACAGGUCAAAUAAAAGCAUGUUCCUGGGGUCCAACUUGGUUUUGAAAGCUGAAGUGUCCUGAUCGUAUCCAGUUAACCACAUGUAGGGCUGCUGUAUUUUCUCUGCUCUGAAAACGCAGGUGUUACCACACCAGGAAGUUGGCUGCGUUAGGAGGUUCUCGAAAGCGCUGCUUCUGGUACUAAGGUCCCACUUAUUGGUAGCCCCACGCCCCUCGCAUCCCUUCUCACAGUCUCUCAAGCCCCAUGUGGAGUAUGGAAUUGAAUAAACAAGGUUCCAUCCAGAGAAGACCAAGUCCUCCUUAUGCGUAUUCAUUCCUGGAGAGUGCUAAGCAUCUCUUCUGAGACGGACUGAGAAUGCCCUGUAAGAAACCAUGUCUGAAAGCAGAGCACAGUCUCUGGGAGGAGCUUCCUGGUGCUGGAAACAACAAGGGUAUGAUUUCUAUUAAUCUGCGAAAAUGCACUCGUUCAAAUGAGAGAAGUGGAUGGAUAAAAAACUCAUCAGGGUAUGUUGAUGCCACACUCCUACUCCUUUAGGUAUUGUCUUGUAGAUUUCAACCAACAAUCAAGUAUCAACACUAAGCAUCAAUCAAUAAUCUAGUAAUCAUCAAGUAUCAAUUGAUCAACAUUUAUUAUCUAUUCUUUGCUAGAAAGGGAUGUAAGAUAAAAACAAGACAUUUUCCCUACCCUUUUUAUAUUUAAGGCAUACGUAAUUCGCUUAAUAAAAACUUUUAAGUAUAUACUCUAGGCAAAACUAACAUACAUAGAAUCAUUGGAAAUAAAAGCUGGACUCUAUCUGUAGCCCAAAUUUCAGACAUGCUUUUAAAUCUCCAAACAAAUUUAAACUUUUUUUUCCAUAUAGAGAACAUUCAAAUAUUUAAAGAUAAUAUACAUAUUGUCUUCUUUGUUCCAGGCUAAAAUUUUUUUAACUGUUUCUCAUAUGAUAAGAUUUUUUAAAUCAUGCCCCAUCUUAAUUAUCUCUAAAUACUCUCCCAUUUUAAGCAUCAUUCUUAAUAUGAUCUGGCUCUAUGCCUUCACUCUAUGAAACUCUACCUUCUUAUCUGUGAAAUGGCAGAGUUAGGCUAGAUUAAUAAGAUUGUAUCCUCCUAUCAUUAAAAAAACUGAUUUGAACAAACUUCCGCUCCCAUAGGUCUACGCAUCUAUGCAAUAUCCUCCGAGAGCACUGUCUUCACAUCAGACAUGUUGAAAAGAGAUUAGGAUUGCGUGGCAACCACCGUAAAGGAUGUGGUUUCUAGAGAAUUUGUCAGGAACAGAGGUCGUAUGUUGUCUAGUGUGACAGAUGGACGGAUUCAUUUACAAGGUCACCAGAUGCGUGACCUACAAAGGCUCUUAGCUCUUCGGGUCCAACUCACUCUUUUUACUGAGUGGAAAAGAGAUCCAGGUGCCAAGUCACUUGUUCACGAGCAACACUGUGUGUAGCAUACUUAUUUUCCAAAAACGUUAGCAGCACGAUUUCUGAUCCCACCUGGUCUUAGAGACCCUUGCCACACCUCCAUCAAGAAGUAGGGUCUGUCUCCCCUCUCCUGGUGACAGCUUCCAGGAAGAGAAUGCAGCAGAAGUGAUGCUGUGUGAGUUCCGAGGCUAGAUCAUAAUAGGCCACGUGGCACAUGGCUCCCUCUCUCUGUCUCAUUCAUCUCUCUGCACAUCUUUGGAGCCCUGAACCACCACAUAAGAAUUCUGGUUUUCCAGAAGCCAACAAACUAGAGAGACCACGUAGAGAGACCAAAGAGAGGCAUCGGAGAGCCCCGCUGGCCAGCCUCCAGCUGUUUGCAUCUUCCCAGCUCAGGAGUCAAAGACAGUCUACAUUCUUAACACCAUGUGGUAUUGGAUGCCCUGCUGGGGAAUGGAUGCCUAACCGAAGAGGCAAUAGAAAAAACGUUGUUUUUAAAGAGAGGACUAAUAUAAUACAGUGGAACUCCAGGAUCAGGAGUUAAGAAAAGAAAUAAAGGACGUGAGGACAUUGAAUUAGAAUAUAGAAAUGCAGGAUAUACAAUCACAGACUUGGAGAGAGAUCUUAACUAAGUCUGCCUUCUGACAUUUGGUGUGACUCCUGACACAUGCACAAAUGUCUACAGGAUGCUGGUUCUACUCUUCUCUUGGAGUGAGACAAGGUUUAUGACAAGGGACCACAUGGUUAGUGUCUGUGCACUAUUUCUAUUGAUUUAAGCCUCCUACCUGGGAUUAGAAGGAACAAUCAUUUUAUUAACUACAGUCAAAGGGUUAUAAAGAAAAUCUGAGUCCACCAGAUAUCCAUAAUUCCAUCUUUCCUCCUUCUUGGCGUUAUCUUAUUCCAUCUAGAGUUUUUCCUAAGUGCACAAAUGAGAUCUUUCAGAGGGUGGACUGAGGAGUGGAAAGACGAAAGAGAAGGAGAGAAACAGGAGGAACAAUGCACCGGUACAAGGUGUGCAUGAGCAAGCAAAUUGCAGACAACCUCUGCCGCUCUGAUCUCUGGUGCUCAAUCUGAAAUAGGGAGAGGACUCAGAUGGAAAUUGAUCAUGGUCAUGACCCAAAUGCUUCCUGAGACCCUCACUCUCCUUGUCCUAAAAAGCAGUAUAAUUUGGUAAAAGAAGACAGUUCCUCAGUCACUGCCAUCUGUCACCUGCCUGAGCCCUUAUAUCUGCAACUUCAAGAAGACAGAGAAAUGAAUGACCUCCUUGCAGUCUAUCUGCAGCAGAGAGGCCUUUUCCAGUUCAGUCUUCUCUAUUCCUUGUAAUCACUUUAUUUUGUUAAUAAAAUAAAUCUGCCACUCA
ensembl:lncRNA